AAUGUUUAUUAUGACGGCGUUUAUAUAAGGGCGUUUUCUUAAGCGUCGUCUUUUUUAAUAUUUAAUGGCGUUUUAUAAACGUCGCCUUUUGUGCUACUCAAAACGGCACCAUUUAGUUGAUAGAAAACGCCUCCGAAUGUGUUAUAAUCUCUCACACCCUCUCCCACCCUCUUGAGACUCUCAUUCUUUACCCUUCAGUCUUAGAAAGAAGAUGCCUCAAAACAGAUAUAGAUAUUAGACAAAGAAUAAAGGUAAUCCCUUAAAUCUCAUAGUGAUUUCAGAAUGGGAAUCGAUCGGAAUCAUCUUGGUGAUUUAAUUUGUUUACCUAUUCCAUUUACAUAGAAAUCACUGAGAGGUAAACUUAUCUAUAUCAAGCUUCAGAAUCGAUUUCAUUUACUGAGAGACUCAUCUCUCUCUCUCUCUCUCUCUCUCUCUCUCUCUCUCUCCUCUGCCGAUCUCAUCCACACUCACCGCCGCUGCUGUCUUCUCAUUAUCGCCUCAGAUCGACAGCUACAGUGGUGGAAGAGGAUGGCGGUAGUGGUGCUCGUUGAAGAAAAGAACAAGAGACGAGAUCUGAAGGAUUUCGAACUAAUUAAAGCCAGAUCUGAAGGUUUCAAAGAACACCUGAUCCAAAUAAGGGGGUUUCGAAUCAGAUAUGUUGGAGUUCAGAUUGCUGAGAGAUCGAAUUGCAAUGACCUUGUUUUCAUGUAAAUUGAUUCGGUGUCUCGGGUGUGAAUGCGUGAAGUUGAAAGUUCCUGUAGAGGAUGAGGACCAAGGUUUGAAAAAUGGAUGUGAAUUUGAGACUGGUGGUGGUAAAGAGAGCAAGUCCCUGUAUUCUGUAAGAUUGACCAACCAACUCGUUACAGAUACCAGAAU